rnacentral:rRNA from 1 species
UAAUACGGAGGGUGCAAGCGUUAAUCGGAAUUACUGGGCGUAAAGCGCGCGUAGGCGGUUUGUUAAGUCGGAUGUGAAAGCCCUGGGCUCAACCUGGGAACUGCAUCCGAUACUGGCAGGCUAGAGUACGGUAGAGGGGGGUAGAAUUCCACGUGUAGCGGUGAAAUGCGUAGAGAUGUGGAGGAAUACCAGUGGCGAAGGCGGCCCCCUGGACUGAUACUGACGCUAAGGUGCGAAAGCGUGGGGAGCAAACAGGAUUAGAUACCCUGGUAGUCCACGCUGUAAACGAUGUCAGCUAGCCGUUGGAAGGGUAAUCCUUUUAGUGGCGUAGCUAACGCGCUAAGUUGACCGCCUGGGGAGUACGGUCGCAAGAUUA